GACGAACGCUGGCGGCGUGCUUAACACAUGCAAGUCGAACGAAGAGCGAUGGAAGCUUGCUUCUAUCAAUCUUAGUGGCGAACGGGUGAGUAACGCGUAAUCAACCUGCCCUUCAGAGGGGGACAACAGUUGGAAACGACUGCUAAUACCGCAUACGAUCUAAUCUCGGCAUCGAGGAUAGAUGAAAGGUGGCCUCUACAUGUAAGCUAUCACUGAAGGAGGGGAUUGCGUCUGAUUAGCUAGUUGGAGGGGUAACGGCCCACCAAGGCGAUGAUAAGUAGCCGGUCUGAGAGGAUGAACGGCCACAUUGGGACUGAGACACGGCCCAGACUCCUACGGGAGGCAGCAGUGGGGAAUCUUCCGCAAUGGACGAAAGUCUGACGGAGCAACGCCGCGUGAGUGAUGACGGCCUUCGGGUUGUAAAGCCCUGUUAAUCGGGACGAAAGGCCUUCUUGCGAAUAGUGAGAAGGAUUGACGGUACCGGAAGAGAAAGCCACGGCUAACUACGUG
rnacentral:rRNA from 1 species